CCAAGCCUCUAGUGCACCA
rnacentral:piRNA from 1 species